GACGAACGCUGGCGGCGUGCUUAACACAUGCAAGUCGAACGGAAAGGCCCUGCUUUUGUGGGGUGCCCGAGUGGCGAACGGGUGAGUAACACGUGAGUAACCUGCCCUUGACUUUGGGAUAACUUCAGGAAACUGGGGCUAAUACCGGAUAGGAGCUCCGGCUGCAUGGUGGGGGUUGGAAAGUUUCGGCGGUUGGGGAUGGACUCGCGGCUUGUCAGCUUGUUGGUGGGGUAGUGGCUUACCAAGGCUUUGACGGGUAGCCGGCCUGAGAGGGUGACCGGCCACAUUGGGACUGAGAUACGGCCCAGACUCCUACGGGAGGCAGCAGUGGGGAAUAUUGCACAAUGGGCGGAAGCCUGAUGCAGCAACGCCGCGUGCGGGAUGACGGCCGUCGGGUUGUAAACCGCUUUCGCCUGUGACGAAGCGUGAGUGACGGUAAUGGGUAAAGAAGCACCGGCUAACUACGUG
rnacentral:rRNA from 1 species